rnacentral:rRNA from 1 species
AUUGAACGCUGGCGGAAUGCUUUACACAUGCAAGUCGAACGGCAGCACGGGGGCAGCCCUGGUGGCGAGUGGCGAACGGGUGAGUAAUACAUCGGAACGUGCCCGGUCGUGGGGGAUAACGUAGCGAAAGUUACGCUAAUACCGCAUACGAUCUGAGGAUGAAAGCGGGGGACCUUCGGGCCUCGCGCGAUCGGAGCGGCCGAUGUCAGAUUUGGUAGUUGGUGGGGUAAAGGCCUACCAAGCCGACGAUCUGUAGCUGGUCUGAGAGGACGACCAGCCACACUGGGACUGAGACACGGCCCAGACUCCUACGGGAGGCAGCAGUGGGGAAUUUUGGACAAUGGGCGCAAGCCUGAUCCAGCCAUUCCGCGUGCAGGACGAAGGCCUUCGGGUUGUAAACUGCUUUUGUACGGAACGAAAAGGCUCUGGCUAAUACCUGGGGCUCAUGACGGUACCGUAAGAAUAAGCACCGGCUAACUACGUG